UGGGGAAUUUUGGACAAUGGGCGCAAGCCUGAUCCAGCAAUGCCGCGUGCAGGAUGAAGGCCUUCGGGUUGUAAACCGCUUUAGUCCGGGAAAAAGGGCUGACGUGCUAAUACCGCGUUGGUUUGAUGGUACUGGAAGAAUAAGCACCGGCUAACUACGUGCCAGCAGCCGCGGUAGUACGUAGGGUGCGAGCGUUAAUCGGAAUUACUGGGCGUAAAGCGUGCGCAGGCGGUUAUAUAAGACAGAUGUGAAAUCCCCGGGCUCAACCUGGGAACUGCGCUUGUGACUGCUAAGCUAGAGUACGGCAGAGGGGGGUGGAAUUCCACGUGUAGCAGUGAAAUGCGUAGAGAUGUGGAGGAACACCAAUGGCGAAGGCAGCCCCCUGGGUCGAUACUGACGCUCAUGCACGAAAGCGUGGGUAGCAAACA
rnacentral:rRNA from 1 species